GGCUUGUUGGUCAAGAAGUUAAGACGCUCGACUUUCACUCGGGAAUCACAGGUGCAAAUCCUGUACAAGUCA
rnacentral:tRNA from 3 species